AUUGAACGCUGGCGGCAGGCCUAACACAUGCAAGUCGAGCGAGCGGCGGACGGGUGAGUAAUGUAUGGGGACUGCCCGAUAGAGGGGGAUAACUACUGGAAACGGUAGCUAAUACCGCAUACCAUCGGAUUAACCAGAUGGGAUUAGCUAGUAGGUGAGGUAAUGGCUCACCUAGGCGACGAUCCCUAGCUGGUCUGAGAGGAUGACCAGCCACCCUGGGACUGAGACACGGCCCAGACUCCUACGGAGGCAGCAGUGGGGAAUAUUGCACAAUGGGCGCAAGCCUGAUGCAGCCAUGCCGCGUGUAUGAAGAAGGCCCUAGGGUUGUAAAGUACUUUCAGUGGGGAGGCGUUACCGGCAGAAGAAGCACCGGCUAACUCCGUGCCAGCAGCCGCGGUAAUUC
rnacentral:rRNA from 1 species